GGGAAGUAAAGUCGUAACAAGGUCUCCGUUGGUGAACCAGCGGAGGGAUCAUUG
rnacentral:rRNA from 1 species